CCUUCUCUCUCACUAUUUUCUCUUUUCUCCUUUCCGUUUUCCUUUCAAACCCCAACCAACGCCGCAAGUGGAUUGCCGAACAAACCCAUGCUCAUCGUGAACGCCGAACUAAAGAGGUUGCUCGUGAGGCAAGUAGCUUUCCUGCUUCCUCUUCCCCUUUCAAGCGAUAAAAUUAGAAUUCCAAUUCCGUAACCCUCUCAUUGCAUUUUGUAUUUUGUUCUUGAUUUAAACUUUGUAUUUUGAAGGAAGAUCUACAAAUUUGUUUGUCAGUAACUUGCAGAUCUACGCUUGUCCGACCCCACUCCAUAGUUUCUGCUCUCCUUUCAUCACUUUUGUUUUCAAGGAAUAUUGGAAGAGAAGUGGUCAAAUACUAGCUCUUAGAGUAAAUGCUGGAACUGAACCUGAUGCAGAUCUUGGUCCGGUUAUCAGAUCUUAGAACCCGGAACAUAUUUCAUGGCCAGAUGUGGAUUAACUGCAAGGCUUAAGUUCUUCUUUGGGGACCAAAUGCAGAAUAUCCUUCUCACGUAGAGACGUGGUUUCGUUAACGAGCAACCAGAGGGCUGAAAGAGGCAAUGACAACCAUUCUGCUGCUUCAUCUAGAUCAUCACUAUUCAACUCAGCCUUGAUGCAUAAGUCUUCCAAACUCGUGGAACCUUCU